AUUGUUUUGGCAGAUUAGUGCUUUAAGUUUAGAGUUUAAAUAUGUAUUUUAUUAUACAGGCAAUA
rnacentral:tRNA from 1 species